rnacentral:lncRNA from 1 species
AUGGAUGGCUGCUCUGGGGGUUUCUCUGAUCAUACAACCUUCCUCAGGCACAAGUCUGGAAUUCAAAACGGGAUUUUUCAGCUGCAAAGUUCUGGCCCCCAUGUGCCGAGCAGUUCUUUCCCUGUCGCUGUUGGGUGUAAAUGUCCCUCGGAGAGGAAGGCUGAUGCUGUUGCACUAUCUACUCUGACCUGGCACCUGCAGGGUGAAAAGGGCUCCUGGAGAAAGAAAGAUUUUUCUGGAAGCAAGAGACAGGGACAUUUGUGGACUAUCCAAAUCAUUCACGAAGUCAAACUGUGCAGAUAGCAAGAGAGAGGCGCUGUGGGGCAGAUGGGAGCCACCUCAAGCUCAGAGAGCAGCUGUGGGAUGCGGAGCCCUCACUGCUGGGCAGACUGUGUGGAGUGUUUUGUACGUAUCGCCUCCUGUAAUCCUCUCAAUUUUUCGCUAACGUAGGUACUGUUGUCUUCCUUUUCCAGCUGAGGGAACUGAGGCACGGAGUGAGUAUGUAGCUUGCUCACAUUUUCCUAGAGAAACAGGACAAAUCCCAACCAAAACACAGUUGUGAUUCCAAAGCCAGUACAGUAUUUGCGUUCAGCAAGUGCUGCCUCUGAGAGAAACCAGGCGCCCCUCGUCAGAAGCACAGUGUGGAAGCUGGGCGUCUGUUCUGUCUGACUGUCCGGCCAUCCCAGACCCAAGAGCAGGCACUUGCAGCUGUACACUGGCAGCCGUAUAAAUGACCACUCAGCAGCAUUUCCACAUGGAACCUGUGCUGCUGGCCCUGAGCAACCACACCUGAAGCCUGCUCCCCUGUCCCUCCAGCCCAGGCCCAACCUGUGGCCGACCUGGGAUGUAUUUUUUGCCUCAGCCUAUCCCUCACUUCUAGUCUUUGCUUCCCAUUGACCCUCUCCCUGAAGCCCCCCAACCCUGGCAGGCUUUCAAAGCUGAGGCCCCAUGUGAGUACACCUGCCUAACAGUUAAGCCAUAGGUCUCCAAGGGCGGUCUCUACACUACCCUGUCUACCCUGGGGGUUACUCCCUGAGGUACUCCAAGAACACUGAGUUCUAGGCUCUCCCAGAAGCUUCAAUAAGAUUUUGGUGGGGGGACUGAAAAGUCUGCACUGUUUUUCAGAAGUAGAGGUGGUGGGAUGGCACUGUACCAAGGGCUCUUUCUGUAUUGGUCUAGGCACCUGCGCCCUGCACAGGGAGGCUGGUGUGAAAGCUGGUGGGGAGGGGCGGAGGAAGCCGUAGGAGGCUGGGCAGUACUUCUGCCAGUCUGUACAGAGCUCUGGGAUGGCUGAAGGCCCUGGCAAAAACAAACUCCAGAGAAGUUUCCAGGCAGCAGCCCUCCAGAGCCCCAUUCCACGCAUCCCGGAAUCUGGCCAUUCCCUGCUGGGAAGCAGCAUCCCUUUUGUUCCCGAAUCUUGGGCUUCCAGAGGGCAGUCGGGCAGCUUCACAAGGUGGAGGAAGCAGGUAGAAAGCCAGAAAGGCGGGCAACCAAGGUAGAAGCUGAGUGAGAGCCAUUUCAAUGCUUCCAAAGGUCAUUCACAAAGAGGUCUGGGCAGCACUCAAGAGACCCCGGGACCCAAGACUUACUUAUCAGAGAAAGACAUCCCAAUAGGUAGGCUACUGGGUGCGAAGCCAAGCUUUAGUUCAGUCAGUGUGGCCUUCGAGAAAACACAGGGAGGGAAAAACCUUCAUAAAAUUAAAAAGGAAGUUGUUUUUAUUCCACCUCACCAACAAUUCCAAAACAACUGAACACAGAGUACUCUAACUUUGGCAUGGAGCAAGACCUCCGUGCAAAGUCGUUUCUAAGCUCAUUUGAAGGGAAAAUAGUGUUCUUUGUGUGACCACCUAUAACUUCUGGGCACACUCAGCGGAAGUAACUCAAAUGAAAACUUUGAUUAUUAGCUGGAAAAGUGGGGCAAGGAGGAGUUGGAUGGAGGGCAGUGCUGGAGUGGCCAGAGCUGGAGCGGGGCACGUGGAGGUGUCUGUGCCUGGUGGACUUAGACAAGCCGCUUCAUGACUGGCUCUGAGUUUUCCCAUCCGAAACAGGGCAGUGAAGACUGAUAUGUUGGCCAGCAGAGUGGCUGCCCUGUGGCCCUGGGGAUGCCCAGGCAGUGCUUGAGUCCUCCCUUGGCUGAGGUUCAGCCCUGCACAAGUGCUUGUGUCUGUGGCAAAGCCAGAUCCUUCCCAUCACCUCUUUAGUGCAAAAAUGACCCCCAAAUCCUCUGUAGUCUUCUUCCUUUAAGUCAUGAUAUUAGGCCUUACUCAGAAUUGCUCUUAGGAAUUGUAGUUAGUGUCAUAUAGUUCUUUAUACAGUGACAUGUAUAUAUAUUUGAGAUUACGUGUGUCAGGCAAUGUAUAUGACUUAUAUUUUAAUGUUACACAUGUUAUAUAUGGCAUAAAAUAUUUAUCAAUUUAAUGCACGUCAAUUUCUAUGUAUGUAUCAUAUAACACUAACAACACAUCAUAGGUAUUUGUAUAUAUACAUAUGUAAAUAGACAUUUAUGUGUAUACACAUGCUACUAUAUAAAUGGAAAUUUCAGCUGUAUCAUAUACAUAUAUUCACGUGGACACGAGUGCAUACAGAGUAAAUGGUUUGGUGACCUAAAACCAUAGAAGAUAAGCACUAGAUCUCAGGGGUGGGUUGAAUUGUGCCCCCCUCAGGACAUACUGAAGUCUUAAUUCCUAGCACCUGUGCAUAUGACCUUAUUUUUUUUUUUAAAGGGUCUUUACAGGUGUAAUGAAGAUGUAAGCUAAGGUGAAGUCCUGCUGGGGUAAGGUGGGCCUUCGUUCCUGUAUGACAGGUGUCCUUGUAAGAAGAGAGACACACACAGAGACAGACUUGUGCUAAGGGAACACCGCGUGCAGACACAGGUGCAGGGAAGAGGACACGUGAAGGUGGAGGCAGAGCCUGGAGCAAGGCAAUGCAGCUCCAAGUCCUGGGGCCCCAAGGACCGCAGGCAAACACCAGCAGCUAGGGGGAGCAGGCAAGAGCCUUCCCAAGAGCCUUCUGGAGAAAUUAGGGUUUGAUGAAGCCUCGAUAUCUGACUUCUGGUCUCCAGAACUGUGUAUGAUGCCAUAAAUUUCUAUCACUUUGAUCCCGCUAUGCGUUGUGUGCUUCUUUGUUAGGGCAGCCACGGAGAAAAACACACUCAGAACAGAGUGGGAGCCGGCAGAGCUGCUGAGGCUCAGUCCUGCUUCUCUGCCUCUCCCCACAGCUGCCUGGGGGGCGGGGUGGUCUCUUCCGACUGAAACCAACCCUUGAAGGUGGUGCAGGCCCCUGCAACCCUCUGCUCUCAUGCUGCCUGCUGUGGGUGGUGGCUAAAGCCACACUGUCCCCACCUAAGGCCGAGCUAGGACACUGGAAAUGCGGAGCUGAGCCUUCAUCAUCUUCCUCGCCCUGCCCCACUCCCUGCUCCUAUGCCACAAGCAGCUUUGAGCUCUCAAAGGCUGGCAUAAAUUUAUGGUCAGUAUGCUUCUAGAUCAGAGGUCCUGCUGUUAGAGAGGUUUUUUUUACUUUAAUGGCACAGAGGAAUUCCCCCCCCCAACCUCCUUAAAACACU